AUUGAACGCUGGCGGCAGGCCUAACACAUGCAAGUCGAGCGGAUGACGGGAGCUUGCUCCUUGAUUCAGCGGCGGACGGGUGAGUAAUGCCUAGGAAUCUGCCUGGUAGUGGGGGACAACGUUUCGAAAGGAACGCUAAUACCGCAUACGUCCUACGGGAGAAAGCAGGGACCUUCGGGCCUUGCGCUAUCAGAUGAGCCUAGGUCGGAUUAGCUAGUAGGUGAGGUAAUGGCUCACCUAGGCGACGAUCCGUAACUGGUCUGAGAGGAUGAUCAGUCACACUGGAACUGAGACACGGUCCAGACUCCUACGGGAGGCAGCAGUGGGGAAUAUUGGACAAUGGGCGAAAGCCUGAUCCAGCCAUGCCGCGUGUGUGAAGAAGGUCUUCGGAUUGUAAAGCACUUUAAGUUGGGAGGAAGGGCAGUAAGCUAAUACCUUGCUGUUUUGACGUUGCCGACAGAAUAAGCACCGGCUAACUUCGUGCCAGCAGCCGCGGUAAGAC
rnacentral:rRNA from 1 species